rnacentral:rRNA from 1 species
GACGAACGCUGGCGGCGUGCUUAACACAUGCAAGUCGAACGGAAAGGCCCUGCUUUUGUGGGGGGCUCGAGUGGCGAACGGGUGAGUAACACGGGAGUAACCUGCCCUUGACUUUGGGAUAACUUCAGGAAACUGGGGCUAAUACCGGAUAGGAGCUCCUGCGGCAGGGUGGGGGUGGGAAAGUUUCGGCGGUUGGGGAUGGACUCGCGGCUUAUCAGCUUGUUGGUGGGGUAGUGGCUUACCAAGGCUUUGACGGGUAGCCGGCCUGAGAGGGUGACCGGCCACAUUGGGACUGAGAUACGGCCCAGACUCCUACGGGAGGCAGCAGUGGGGAAUAUUGCACAAUGGGCGGAAGCCUGAUGCAGCAACGCCGCGUGCGGGAUGACGGCCUUCGGGUUGUAAACCGCUUUCGCCUGUGACGAAGCGUGAGUGACGGUAAUGGGUAAAGAAGCACCGGCUAACUACGUG